rnacentral:piRNA from 1 species
UGAUCUUAAGAGAAUGCCUGCAAUUUACUGU